rfam:Triticum aestivum genome assembly, contig: Triticum_aestivum_CS42_TGACv1_scaffold_225786_3B
CAAGUACUCCCUCCGUCCACAAUUACUUGUCAUCAAAAUGGAUGUGUCUAGAACUAAAAUACAUCUAGAUACAUCCAUUUCAAUGACAAGUAUUUUUGGACGGAGGGAGUACAAG